rnacentral:tRNA from 1 species
AUGGUUAUGGCUCAAUGGUUAAGAGCACUGACUGUUCUUUCAGAGGUCCUGAGUUCAAAUCCCAGCAACCACA